rnacentral:rRNA from 1 species
CCCUUAGAUGUCCUGGGCCGCACGCGUGCUACACUGACACUUACACCGAGUUUUUCCGGCCCCGAGAGGUGGCUGGUAAUCAGUAAUAGGUGUCGUGAUGGGGAUAGAUCUUUGGAAUUAUUGAUCUUGAACGAGGAAUGCCUAGUAAUCGUAGGUCAUCAGCCUGCGAUGAUUACGUCCCUGCCCUUUGUACACACCGCCCGUCGCUCCUACCGAUUUCGAGUGGUCCGGUGAACCUUUCGGACAGAGAGGGUCUCGUACAAUCUCUGAAAGUCAAGUAAACCACAUCACUUAGAGGAAGGAGAAGUCGUAACA